rnacentral:misc_RNA from 1 species
GUUAAGGCCAUUAGAGAAACGGCCGGUGGGUAGACGAGUGGGAAAAUCAAUGCCAUAGGGAGGAGAAUCAGCUCGGGCAGUGGUUGCAAGAUAAUUAUUGUUGCCAUUAUCAACUAGAGAGUCACCAAAAACAAAGAAAGCCCUAGCCUCUGCAGCCAGAGGAGCAAAACUUGCCAGAGUUAACACCAGCAGGCCCAACAUUAUCCACGAGGUGAAACUUGAUGAUGAUG